rnacentral:rRNA from 1 species
UACCUGCAGCUCGAGUGGUAACCGCUAUUAUUGGGCCUAAAGCGUCCGUAGCCGGUUUGGUAAAUAUCUGGGUAAAUCGUGAGGCUUAACUUCACGAAUUUCGGAUAGACUGCCAGACUUGGGAUCGGGGGAGGUCAGAGGUACUCCAGGGGUAGCGGUGAAAUGUUGUAAUCCUUGGAGGACCACCGGUAGCGAAGGCGUCCGACUAGAACGAGUCCGACGGUGAGGGACGAAGCCCUGGGGCGCAAACCGGAUUAGAUACCCGGGUAGUCCAGGGUGUAAACAAUGUGGGCUUUGUAUUGGAGGUCCCACGUGGGCGUCCAGUGCAGAAGAGAAGUUGUUAAGCCCACCGCCUGGGAAGUACGGUCGCAAGGCUGAAACUUAAAGGAAUUGGCGGGGGAGCACAGCAACGGGAGGAGCGUGCGGUUU